UGAGAUGAUUUUGCCUGCUUUAGACAAUACUUUCACAGGGCACAUAUGAAGCGGGUGUGUCCAGCAACAGCAACAGCAAGUUUAUACAAGUUUGGAAUCGGCAGUGUUUUGCUGCCUCUUACAUUUUGAAUCAUGCGCAAACCGACAGCCCAGUUCCUGAGUCAGCCGCGUGGUACGGUCGGCACGUGAGGCUUCAAACGUCACCAUGUGUCAUCAACAGAAGCAGCUUAUUAAAGGCAUCAACAGGCAGGAUGAACUGCUGCUUGUAAUAUUUUGGUGUGAAGCAAAAUGAUGUGAAUCAAGGUUCAUCUGGCAAUCAAGAAUGACAAGGUGGAUUCACAAGAGUUGGACUUGACUGGCUGCUGAAACAUUGCGAAUCAAGAUCAUGAGCUGCUGACUGCUGGAGAGCCUGUCACAUUCGUCUUUUUUCAGUCUCGCACAACUGCACCUUUGUGAACCAGCACAGCCAUUCUGAACCCUUCAGUCAACAUCAGAAUACAUAAAAUCUUCGUCUAAAC